rnacentral:rRNA from 1 species
GCUCGCAAGAGUGAACGAGCUAACUGAAAGAAUAUACAAUCUAAAGUUAGGAAAAUUAUAAAAAUAUAUUAUAAUUUUAAAGACGAAUCUAACUAACAGUGUCGUCCAAAUCUGGUGCCAGAAGACUCGGUAAUACCAGAGACGCGAACGUUAAUCAUCUUGAAUGGGCAUAAAGGGUUUGUAGGCGGCUUAUUUUGUAAUAGGCUAGAAUCUUAUAGAGGUAAAUAAAAUACUUAGAGGAGGGUUGAUAUCCAUAGAUCCUAAGUGGAAUCCUAAUUGCGAAGGCAAUUUACCAAUACAGAUUGACGCUGAGAAACGAAGGUUAGGAAAGGAACUAGGAUUAGAGACCCUAUUACCCCUAACUGUAAACGAUGAAUGGAAGAUAUUUACAAAACUGUAAGUGUCGAAGUGAAUACGUUAACCAUUCCGCCUUGCUAGUAUACUUGCAAAAGUGAAAACAAAAAAAUUAGUCGGUCCUAAAGCAAACG